rnacentral:rRNA from 1 species
UACGGGGGGCAGCAGUGGGGAAUAUUGCACAAUGGGCGCAAGCCUGAUGCAGCCAUGCCGCGUGUAUGAAGAAGGCCUUAGGGUUGUAAAGUACUUUCAGUUGGGAGGAAGGCGUUGAUGCUAAUAUCAUCAGCGAUUGACGUUACCAACAGAAGAAGCACCGGCUAACUCCGUGCCAGCAGCCGCGGUAAUACGGAGGGUGCAAGCGUUAAUCGGAAUUACUGGGCGUAAAGCGCACGCAGGCGGUUGAUUAAGUUAGAUGUGAAAUCCCCGGGCUUAACCUGGGAAUGGCAUCUAAGACUGGUCAGCUAGAGUCUUGUAGAGGGGGGUAGAAUUCCAUGUGUAGCGGUGAUAUGCGUAGAGAUGUGGAGGAAUACCGGUGGCGAAGGCGGCCCCCUGGACAAA